UGUUUAGACAAAUAUGUCACCUUUUUUAACACGAAUAAAUAUCAUUAAUAUAAUAUUUUCGCUCCAAUUCGAUACAGUUAUGAAAAUGCACAAAUGUACGAUAUUAUCCUUUUUUUCGUUUGCGUCAAACGUGCAUUAAAAUACAAUAUUUUCUUUCUAUUCAUUAUGUUUACUGUUGUUUAUUGCUCUAUAAUAAAUGUACCUAGCAUUAUCAAGUGUCCGAGCGGAAUGCACAGAGUUGAGUCAUCUUGCGUGAGCAUUACCUCUGUAGAAUACUUGGAUACAUCCAACGGUGAUACUACAACGCAGCAAGAUCAAAUGGAUUUAAAUAAUUCGUACGAAUAUUAAAUACGUUAUUAAAAUAACUGCGGAUCCGAGGUUUGAUAAUAUGAAAUAAAUGGAAAGCAUUGUUUUUA